AGCAGAGUGGCUCAGUGGAAAGAGCACGGACUUUAGAGUCAGAGAUCAUGGGUUCGAAUCCCGUCUCUGCCA
rnacentral:tRNA from 1 species